GUGAGAAUGCCGGAAUGAGUAGCGAGAAUUAUGUGAGAAUCAUAAUGGCCGAAAGUCUAAGGUUUCCUGAGGAAGGUUCGUCCUCUCAGGGUUAGCCGGGAGCUAAGGUGAGGCGGAAACGCGUAGCCGAUGCACAUACGGUAGAAAUUCCGUAGCCUCCGAAGAUUUAAGCACAGGGACACUUUUGAAGGGCUGAGCCGGGCGUUGGUUGCCCCGGUCGAAAGGGACACGAUUGAGUGGAAGUCAGUUUGGAAAGAGGCGAGAAAAGCUGUGUGUAUAUGAAAGGAGCCCGUACCGCAAACCGACACAGGUAGACAGGAAGAAGAUUCUAAGGCCAGCGGGAGAAGGGUUGUUAAGGAACUCGGCAAGUUGACCCCGUAACUUCGGGAGAAGGGGUGCUUACGAAGGUAAGCCGCAGAGAAUAGGCCCAAGCGACUGUUUAGCAAAAACACAGCUCUAUGCUAAAUCGAAAGAUGACGUAUAUGGGGUGACACCUGCCCGGUGCUGGAAGGUUAAGAGGAGAUGUGAGAGCAUUGAAUUGAAGCCCCAGUAAACGGCGGCCGUAACUAUAACGGUCCUAAGGUAGCGAAAUUCCUUGUCAGGUAAGUUCUGACCCGCACGAAUGGCGUAAUGAUCUGGGAGCUGUCUCAACUGCCCGCCCGGCGAAAUUGUAGUACCGGUGAAGAUGCCGGUUACCCGCGACUAGACGGAAAGACCCCAUGGAGCUUCACUGCAGCUUAAUAUUGGAUUUCGGUAUUUCAUGUACAGGAUAGGUGGGAGACUGGGAAAUACAGGCGUCAGCUUGUAUGGAGUCAUUGUUGGGAUACCACUCUUGAGGUGCUGGAAUUCUAACCUGUGGCCUUGAAUCAGGUCAGGGGACAUUGUUAGGCGGGCAGUUUGACUGGGGCGGUCGCCUCCUAAAAGGUAACGGAGGCGCUCAAAGGUUCGCUCAGCAUGGACGGAAACCAUGCCAAAGAGUGUAAACGCAUAAGCGAGCCUAACUGCGAGACUGACGGGUCGAGCAGUAACGAAAGUUGGAGUUAGUGAUCCGGCGGUAUGUGAGUGGAAAUGCCGUCGCUCAACGGAUAAAAGCUACCCUGGGGAUAACAGGCUGAUCUCCCCCAAGAGUCCACAUCGACGGGGAGGUUUGGCACCUCGAUGUCGGCUCAUCGCAUCCUGGGGCUGAAUUCGGUCCCAAGGGUUUGGCUGUUCGCCAAUUAAAGCGGUACGCGAGCUGGGUUCAGAACGUCGUGAGACAGUUCGGUCCCUAUCUGUCGUGGGCGUUGGAGAUUUGAAAGGAGCUGUCCCUAGUACGAGAGGACCGGGAUGGACGCACCUCUGGUGCACCAGUUGUCACGCCAGUGGCACAGCUGGGCAGCUAUGUGCGGAACGGAUAAACGCUGAAAGCAUCUAAGCGUGAAGCCGCCCUUAAGAUAAGAUCUCCUUUAAGACCCCUUGUAGACUACGAGGUUGAUAGGUCUGAUGUGUAAGCACGGUGACGUGUUUAGCUUGCAGAUACUAAUCGGUCGUUCGCUUUUCCUU
rnacentral:rRNA from 1 species